CCUACGGGGGGCUGCAGUGGGGAAUAUUGGACAAUGGGCGAAAGCCUGAUCCAGCCAUGCCGCGUGUGUGAAGAAGGCCUUCGGGUUGUAAAGCACUUUCAGUGGGGAAGAAAGCCUUGGGGCUAAUACCCUCGAGGAAGGACAUCACCCACAGAAGAAGCACCGGCUAACUCCGUGCCAGCAGCCGCGGUAAUACGGAGGGUGCGAGCGUUAAUCGGAAUUACUGGGCGUAAAGCGCGCGUAGGCGGUCUGAUAAGCCGGUUGUGAAAGCCCCGGGCUCAACCUGGGAACGGCAUCCGGAACUGUCAGGCUAGAGUGCAGGAGAGGAAGGUAGAAUUCCCGGUGUAGCGGUGAAAUGCGUAGAGAUCGGGAGGAAUACCAGUGGCGAAGGCGGCCUUCUGGACUGACACUGACGCUGAGGUGCGAAAGCGAGGGUAGCAAACAGGAUUAGAUACCCCUGUAGUC
rnacentral:rRNA from 1 species